rnacentral:rRNA from 1 species
AAAUUGAAGAGUUUGAUCAUGGCUCAGAUUGAACGCUGGCGGCAGGCCUAACACAUGCAAGUCGAACGGUAACAGGAAGCAGCUUGCUGCUUCGCUGACGAGUGGCGGACGGGUGAGUAAUGUCUGGGAAACUGCCUGAUGGAGGGGGAUAACUACUGGAAACGGUGGCUAAUACCGCAUAACGUCGCAAGACCAAAGAGGGGGGACCUUCGGGCCUCUUGCCAUCAGAUGUGCCCAGAUGGGAUUAGCUUGUUGGUGAGGUAACGGCUCACCAAGGCGACGAUCCCUAGCUGGUCUGAGAGGAUGACCAGCCACACUGGAACUGAGACACGGUCCAGACUCCUACGGGAGGCAGCAGUGGGGAAUAUUGCACAAUGGGCGCAAGCCUGAUGCAGCCAUGCCGCGUGUAUGAAGAAGGCCUUCGGGUUGUAAAGUACUUUCAGCGGGGAGGAAGGUGUUGUGGUUAAUAACCGCAGCAAUUGACGUUACCCGCAGAAGAAGCACCGGCUAACUCCGUGCCAGCAGCCGCGGUAAUACGGAGGGUGCAAGCGUUAAUCGGAAUUACUGGGCGUAAAGCGCACGCAGGCGGUCUGUCAAGUCGGAUGUGAAAUCCCCGGGCUCAACCUGGGAACUGCAUUCGAAACUGGCAGGCUUGAGUCUUGUAGAGGGGGGGGGGUAGAAUUCCAGGUGUAGCGGUGAAAUGCGUAGAGAUCUGGAGGAAUACCGGUGGCGAAGGCGGCCCCCUGGACAAAGACUGACGCUCAGGUGCGAAAGCGUGGGGAGCAAACAGGAUUAGAUACCCUGGUAGUCCACGCCGUAAACGAUGUCUACUUGGAGGUUGUGCCCUUGAGGCGUGGCUUCCGGAGCUAACGCGUUAAGUAGACCGCCUGGGGAGUACGGCCGCAAGGUUAAAACUCAAAUGAAUUGACGGGGGGGCCCGCACAAGCGGUGGAGCAUGUGGUUUAAUUCGAUGCAACGCGAAGAACCUUACCUGGUCUUGACAUCCACGGAAGGUCUCAGAGAUGAGACUGUGCCUUCGGGAACCGUGAGACAGGUGCUGCAUGGCUGUCGUCAGCUCGUGUUGUGAAAUGUUGGGUUAAGUCCCGCAACGAGCGCAACCCUUAUCCUUUGUUGCCAGCGGUCCGGCCGGGAACUCAAAGGAGACUGCCAGUGAUAAACUGGAGGAAGGUGGGGAUGACGUCAAGUCAUCAUGGCCCCUUACGACCAGGGCUACACACGUGCUACAAUGGCGCAUACAAAGAGAAGCGACCUCGCGAGAGCAAGCGGACCUCAUAAAGUGCGUCGUAGUCCGGAUUGGAGUCUGCAACUCGACUCCAUGAAGUCGGAAUCGCUAGUAAUCGUGGAUCAGAAUGCCACGGUGAAUACGUUCCCGGGCCUUGUACACACCGCCCGUCACACCAUGGGAGUGGGUUGCAAAAGAAGUAGGUAGCUUAACCUUCGGGAGGGCGCUUACCACUUUGUGAUUCAUGACUGGGGUGAAGUCGUAACAAGGUAACCGUAGGGGAACCUGCGGUUGGAUCACCUCCUUA